rnacentral:lncRNA from 1 species
CGCUGAGGCCCCUGGGAGCCGGAAACACACAUGGACUGUGUUCUUUUCCAUCUCGAUACACAAUCCUCUGUAGACUGGAGAGUACCACAAGGUUCCUACAUCCCUGAACAGAUGUCUCUGCAUUCUGACACCAGAGGAAGUGCAUAUGGG